AUGAAAAUAAUAGCUUGGAACUGCCGGGGACUGGGGAAUGGCCCGGCAGUCCGGGGGCUUCUGGACCUCCAGAAGCAGGAGGACCCCGACAUCCUCUUCUUGUCUGAAACCAAAAUGGAUGAGAGGAGAAUGGAGAAAUUCAAGUGGAUGCUGGGAAUGAGCAAUAUGGUGGUAAGAGAUUGCGAAGGAAAAAGUGGAGGACUAGCUUUGUUUUGGAAGAAAGAAAUAAGGUUGGAGUUGCACAACUACUCGAGAUAUCAUAUUGAUGCAGAAGUGAUAGAAAAAGAUGGUUUCAAAUGGCGCUUCACAGGUAUUUAUGGGGAACCAUCUACUGAUAGAAGGAAAGUAACUUGGAGGCUCCUGCGCAUUCUUAAGCAACAAUUGAACCUUCCAUGGUUAUGUGCAGGCGAUUUCAAUGAAAUAUUAUUUAACCAUGAGAAGAAGGGAGGGCCAGCUAGAGCGCAAAGUCAAAUGGAGGGAUUCCGAAUGGCUCUUGAUGAUUGUGGCCUUAAGGAUUUAGGCUAUGUAGGAGAUAAGUACACCUGGCGCAAUCAGAGUUGGGAGGCUAGCCGAUACAUAAAGGAAAGGCUAGACAGAAUGGUAGGUUCGAGAAGUUGGUGUACAAGGUUCCCACACUUUAAAGUGGUGAACGGCGACCCGCGCCAUUCAGAUCACAGGCCUGUGAUUAUCCACAUAGAUGGAUCCGUUGGGGCCCAAAGGUUCAGGAAAAGAGCACAUAAUUUCAGAUUCGAAGCAAGAUGGCUACAAGAGGAAGAUUGUGAGGUCAUUGUAAAGAAUGCCUGGGCCACAGCAAGGAUGAGAGGGGACACUACUACUCAAGGUAUGCUAAGCAAGGUUGCAGGCGACUUAAAAAACUGGGACGUCAACAUGUUGGGAGAUCUUCAGAAAAGAAUAAAAAAUUUAAAAAAAGACUUGGAAGAAGUGAGAAGGGGCGACAUCAGCCAAGACCAAGUUUCAAGAGAACAUUUUCUUCAAGAGAAACUGGACCGACUUGAACACCAGCAGGAUACUCACUGGAGACAACGAGCCCACGUAAAGUGGCUACAGUCUGGGGACAAAAAUACAUCAUUUUUCCAUGCCUUUGCCUCUGAAAGGAAAAGGAGAAACACAAUUAAAAAGUUACAGAGGGAUGAUGGAAGCUGGGCAGAAGGGGAAGAUGCACUGAAGGAACAUAUUGCAAACUACUUUUUGAACAUUUUCUCCACCACGGUGACAGGGAGCAACAUCGAGGAAGUUAUGCAUGUUGUACAACCGAGGGUGACUGAGAGCAUGAACAAUGUUUUGUGUGCUGAGUACACUGAAGAAGAGGUUAAAGCAGCACUAAAUGGUAUGGGUGACCUCAAAGCCCCGGGUCCCGAUGGAAUGCCUGCUAUUUUUUUCAAAAAGUUUUGGCAAAUUGUCGGAGAACAAGUGGUCAAGGAAGUGCUUCAUAUUCUGAGGGGAGGAAACAUGCCAGAGGGCUGGAAUGAUACACUUAUUGUGCUAAUCCCGAAAAAUAACAAUCCAUUGAAGAUUAAUGAUAUGAGACCAAUAAGCCUAUGUAAUGUGGUAUACAAGCUGGUCUCCAAGGUAAUAACGAAUAGGCUCAAAAUAAUUCUUCCUGAUAUAAUCUCGCCUAACCAGAGUGCCUUCGUGCCUGGUCGCCUCAUUUCUGAUAAUACUCUGCUGGCAUAUGAACUAACACACUUCUUGCAGAGGAAAAAAAAUGGCUCAGUAGGUUAUGCAGCAAUAAAACUAGACAUGAGCAAGGCAUACGACCGUGUCGAAUGGACCUUCUUAAAGGAGAUGAUGCAUAGACUGGGUUUCGAUGAAGGGUGGAUGAAUUUGAUAAUGAAGUGCAUCUCCACUGUCAAAUACAAGAUUAAAGUGAAUGGGGAUGUAACCGAAACAAUCACACCCCAAAGGGGACUUCGUCAAGGGGAUCCACUUUCCCCAUAUCUGUUUCUACUUUGUGCGGAAGGGUUCUCAGCCAUGCUGCACAAUGCUGAAAGGAGAGGGUUAAUUAGAGGAAUUAAAAUAUGCAGAGGAGCUCCUAGUGUUAGUCACCUACUUUUUGCAGAUGAUUCUCUGCUGCUAAUGGAGGCUAGUGCAAGCAGUGCUCAAGAAGUUGAACGCAUUUUGAACAUAUAUGGAAGCUGCUCAGGGCAAAUGAUAAACAAGGACAAGUCAUCCAUUUUAUUCAGUAAAAAUACGAGGCCUUGGCAAAAGGAAGAAAUGAAGAGGACAUUGAACAUUAUAACUGAGGGCCUUGCAUCAAAAUAUUUAGGUCUUCCAACAUAUGUUGGCAAAGCAAAAGCGAAGAUGUUUGAAUAUGUAAAGGAAAGAAUAUGGAAAAGGAUUCAAGGUUGGAAGGAGAAACUACUUUCGAAGGCAGGGAAAGAAAUUCUAAUAAAAGCCGUGGCACAAGCUAUUCCUGUCUACAGCAUGGCGUGCUUUGAUCUCACCAAGGGCCUAUGUGAAGAACUGAGCACCAUGAUUAAUAGGUAUUGGUGGAGCCAAAUGGAUAAGGAAAAUAAAGUGCAUUGGGUCAGCUGGGAGAGGCUUACUAGAUCAAAAAGAAAUGGAGGCUUGGGAUUUAGGGAUCUACAUGCGUUCAAUCUGGCAAUGCUGGCAAGACAAGCAUGGAGGCUGCUCCAAAACCCCUCCUCUCUUUGUGCCCAGGUUCUUUCAAGUAGAUACUACCCAGGAUGUUCAAUUCUGCGGGCGAGACCAAGUAGUGGCAUUUCUUAUGCAUGGCGCAGCAUACUAAAGGGUGUUGAGCUGCUGAGAAAAGGAAUCAUAUGGAGAGUUGGGAAUGGCAAGGAUAUUGACAUAUGGAGUGACCCAUGGAUUCCGAGAGGUAACACCAGAAGGGUCGUCUCCCAUAGGGGCAAUAAUUUGAUAACUAAAGUCAGUGAGCUAAUUAACCCAAUCACCAACAAAUGGGACGAAGAACUAGUGAGGCAAACUUUUACCCCGGAAGAUACAAAGUAUAUCCUUCAGAUCCCAAUCCAAGAUCAUCUCGAGGACUUCACGGCAUGGCACUAUGAUAAAAAGCUGAAGAAGAUGGUGGAUUUGACUGGCUUAAACUAUGGACAAUGCCCCUCCCAAACAAAGUGCUCCAUUUUUUAUGGAGGCUAG
rnacentral:rRNA from 1 species